rnacentral:rRNA from 1 species
GGGUGAGUAGAGCGUAGGAAUUUAUCCAUAAGUGGGGGAUAACUUGGGGAAACCCAAGCUAAUACCGCAUAGGCCUAAGGGUGAAAGGGGGGGAUCAAUUUAUUGGCCUCUCGCUGAUGGGUGAGCCUUCGUACGAUUAGUUUGUUGGUGGGGUAAAGGCCUACCAAGGCGAUGAUCGUUAGCUGGUCUGAGAGGAUGGUCAGCCACACUGGGACUGAGACACGGCCCAGACUCC